CGGAGGAGGUUACCUGAGCAGCUCUCGGAGACAGGACGGGCUCCGGAGCUGCAGAUAAUGGGAGCUCUCAGGGAUGCAGGUGAUGCCAGCAGAGCAGGCCUGUCAUAAUCCGUACCGAGACUUGGAACAGGGGAGUGCUGUUCUGGGGGGAAAGAGGAGAGAGAUUAACCUGAACAGAAGUGCAGUGCCAUCUAUCUUCAAGUUCCUACAAACAGCUUAG
rnacentral:lncRNA from 1 species